UCAGGAUGGAGUUUUGCAAGACUGGGUCAUUGACGAUUGCAUUGGUAACUGGUGGAGACCAAAUUUUGAACCUCCUCAGGAAAAUGUAAAACAAAUACAAGGCCGGGCGAGGUGGCUCAUGCCUGUAAUCCCAGCACUUCAGGAGGCCGAGGCGGGUGGAUCACCUGUUGAGGUCAGGAGUUUGAGACCAGCCUGGCCAACAUGGUGAAAGCUCGUCUCUACUAAAAAAUGUAAAAAUCAGCUGGGUUUGAUGGUACAAGCCUGUAAUCCCAGCUACUCCGGAGGCUGAGGCAGGAGAAUUGCUUGAACCUGGGAGGCAGAAGUUGCAGUGAACCGAGAUUGUGCCAUUGCACUCCAGCCUGGACAACAGUGAGACUCCUUCUCAAAAAAUAAAUAAAUAAAUAGAACAAAUACAAAAGAAGAGAGAAUGGUAAAAGUGAAUGAAUUGC
rnacentral:lncRNA from 10 species